CCUACGGGAGGCAGCAGUGAGGAAUAUUGGUCAAUGGACGAGAGUCUGAACCAGCCAAGUAGCGUGAAGGAUGACUGCCCUAUGGGUUGUAAACUUCUUUUAUAUGGGAAUAAAAUGUUCCACGUGUGGGAUUUUGUAUGUACCAUAUGAAUAAGGAUCGGCUAACUCCGUGCCAGCAGCCGCGGUAAUACGGAGGAUCCGAGCGUUAUCCGGAUUUAUUGGGUUUAAAGGGUGCGUAGGUGGAUUGUUAAGUCAGUUGUGAAAGGUUGCGGCUCAACCGCGAAAUUGCAGUUGAAACUGGCAGUCUUGAGAACAGUAGAGGUAGGCGGAAUGCGUGGUGUAGCGGUGAAAUGCUUAGAUAUCACGAAGAACUCCGAUUGCGAAGGCAGUUCACUGGACUGCAACUGACGCUGAGGCACGAAAGUGUGGGUAUCAAACAGGAUUAGAUACCCUAGUAGUC
rnacentral:rRNA from 1 species